ensembl:misc_RNA Gm55521 predicted gene, 55521
AAAAGAAUUGAUGAAAAGCAAUGAAGAUCAGAUGUCCAUCUCAAACCUGCUUUUACAAAAGCAGAAUAGAAAUGAAAUGAAAAUGC